GACGAACGCUGGCGGCGUGCCUAAUACAUGCAAGUAGAACGCUGAAGGAGGAGCUUGCUUCUCUGGAUGAGUUGCGAACGGGUGAGUAACGCGUAGGUAACCUGCCUGGUAGCGGGGGAUAACUAUUGGAAACGAUAGCUAAUACCGCAUAAGAGUAGAUGUUGCAUGACAUUUGCUUAAAAGGUGCAAUUGCAUCACUACCAGAUGGACCUGCGUUGUAUUAGCUAGUUGGUGGGGUAACGGCUUACCAAGGCGACGAUACAUAGCCGACCUGAGAGGGGGAUCGGCCACACUGGGACUGGGACACGGCCCAGACUCCUACGGGAGGCAGCAGGAGGGAAUCUUCGGCAAUGGACGGAAGUCUGACCGAGCAACGCCGCGUGAGGGAAGAAGGGUUUCGGAUCGUAAAGCUCUGUUGUAAGAGAAGAACGAGUGUGAGAGUGGAAAGUUCACACUGUGACGGUAUCUUACCAGAAAGGGACGGCUAACUACGUG
rnacentral:rRNA from 1 species